rnacentral:rRNA from 1 species
UACGUAGGGGGCGAGCGUUGUCCGGAUUUAUUGGGCGUAAAGAGCUUGUAGGCGGUUUGGUAAGUUGGAUGUGAAAUCUCCAGGCUCAACUUGGAGGGGUCAUUCGAUACUGCCAUGACUAGAGUUCGGUAGGGGAGUGUGGAAUUCCUGGUGGAGCGGUGAAAUGCGCAGAUAUCAGGAGGAACACCCGUAGCGAAGGCGGCACUCUGGGCCGGAACUGACGCUGAGGAGCGAAAGCGUGGGGAGCGAACAGG